rnacentral:lncRNA from 1 species
AUUACGCUGCUCUGUGAUUAUGUGCUGGAACUGUAAUUUCUUCUGCUAUACCUUUUGGAACAGAAAUAUAUGGAUACAACCAAGGAGAAUGUCACCUGUGAGGUAAAUUAUCUAGGUCGAGCAGCGAAUGGCAAUUGAGAGCAGUAUGGGAUGUGCCCUGGGAUACUCCGAGGACGCUUGGAUCAAGACACAUUUAAACUACCCAAACAGAGAAAAAGGGAGGUAAAGAGAAGAUAGAAUUAAAUACUAGUGUUGAACACGUGGAAGAAAAGGAGUCUGCAUUUGCAAGAGGGCCAAGAAUGGUAGGUGCUAUUUUGUUUUUCAGUCUAAAGUGUGAAAUAUCCAGUUCUUAAAAAAAGCCCAACCACAGACCUGUGUCUUCAUACAUGAGUCAUAAGCCAUAAGCACUCUUUAUUCAAAUUAACUGCUUCACUCUUAAACUCUUAGAGUUUGCUGGUAAUUUUCACUUUAAAUUUUCUUAACAGGAUGCAAAAAAUAAAUUAUCUUCUGAAAUUGCUAAUCCA